rnacentral:rRNA from 1 species
AGAGUUUGAUCAUGGCUCAGAUUGAACGCUGGCGGCAGGCUUAACACAUGCAAGUCGAACGAUGACUCUCUAGCUUGCUAGAGAAGAUUAGUGGCGGACGGGUGAGUAACAUUUAGGAAUCUGCCUAGUAGUGGGGGAUAGCUCGGGGAAACUCGAAUUAAUACCGCAUACGACCUACGGGUGAAAGGGGGCGCAAGCUCUUGCUAUUAGAUGAGCCUAAAUCAGAUUAGCUAGUUGGUGGGGUAAAGGCCCACCAAGGCGACGAUCUGUAACUGGUCUGAGAGGAUGAUCAGUCACACCGGAACUGAGACACGGUCCGGACUCCUACGGGAGGCAGCAGUGGGGAAUAUUGGACAAUGGGGGCAACCCUGAUCCAGCCAUGCCGCGUGUGUGAAGAAGGCCUUUUGGUUGUAAAGCACUUUAAGCAGGGAGGAGAGGCUAAUGGUUAAUACCCAUUAGAUUAGACGUUACCUGCAGAAUAAGCACCGGCUAACUCUGUGCCAGCAGCCGCGGUAAUACAGAGGGUGCGAGCGUUAAUCGGAAUUACUGGGCGUAAAGCGAGUGUAGGUGGCUCAUUAAGUCACAUGUGAAAUCCCCGGGCUUAACCUGGGAACUGCAUGUGAUACUGGUGGUGCUAGAAUAUGUGAGAGGGAAGUAGAAUUCCAGGUGUAGCGGUGAAAUGCGUAGAGAUCUGGAGGAAUACCGAUGGCGAAGGCAGCUUCCUGGCAUAAUAUUGACACUGAGAUUCGAAAGCGUGGGUAGCAAACAGGAUUAGAUACCCUGGUAGUCCACGCCGUAAACGAUGUCUACUAGCCGUUGGGGUCCUUGAGACUUUAGUGGCGCAGUUAACGCGAUAAGUAGACCGCCUGGGGAGUACGGCCGCAAGGUUAAAACUCAAAUGAAUUGACG